UGCAGGCUGGAGCCCCUGGUCUGGAGCAAGCUGAAUACAGAUGAUUGAAGCAUGAGACGCAUGUUCGAGAAGCCAUGAUUAUUUCUAAAUACUACAAAUGUGGUGCUGAGUUCUCUGGCAUCUUUAUUAGAAGGCACGUGAUGUUGACCUGUCCCAUUACUGGUGAUGUUCUCUUUGAUCAAUUGGUCCUUGUUCAGCUGUUCAAGCUCCAGAACAAUUGUUGCAUAUCUCCGCUGAAAUUCAAUGCUGAUGGGCAUGGAAUAUGAUUUCUGAGAAGAGAAAAAAAUCAGAUCUUGUUAUCUCAGAAGAGGAUAUAUUAAUAGGAACUUCCAAAACUAAAAAACAAAGAGAACAAAGACUGAAAAAAUCAGCACAGAAUGUCCAAGGAUUGUGGGACAACUACAAAAGGUAUAACUUAUGCAUUAAUGGAAAUACAAGGAGAGGAAAGAGAGAAAAAAAGGAAGAACUAUCUGAAAUAUAAUGAAUGAGAAUUUCCCCAAUUUAAUGUCAAAUACCAAAGCAAAGAUCUAAGAAUCUCAGAGAAUACCAAGCAGAAGAAACACCACAAAAACCUCUAGAUUUACACAUAUCAUAUUCAAACUACAGAAAAUCCAAGAUAAAGAAAAAUUCUGGUCCAGCUAUGGUGGCUCACACCUCU
rnacentral:lncRNA from 1 species